UAUAAGUCAUAAAUUUAAUAAUUCCAUAAGAACCCCAAUUUUGGUGACAAUAACAAAUCCAGCUUGCCCUAAUGUAAACAUUAACAUCCGCUGCCGAAUCCGUUAUCCCCAGUGUGGGAACCGGUGCGAGAGAGCUGUCAGCCAAGCAACGAGAGAGGCAAUGGUACUCUCUCAGACCAAUCACACUGAUGGGCAAUAAGAAAUCAACCCCCGUGAGACAGACGCGCACGUAUAUAUAUAUAUAUAUAUUCAUUACCGAAGCGGGUUAAUAUUUAAUUUAAACAAAAAGUUACAAAACAAAAAGGCAUAUUAAAAUAUGUGUGCAAUGUACAUACUGUACAUAUAUGUAAACAAUGUUAGUAAUGGCAGCGCGAUAGCACAGGUGGCAGCACUGCAGGAAACUAUCGAUAGGAUCUGGAGAGCAGUUGGUGGGAAUGAUCGAAGAAAAAGUGGCAGAUCGCAAAAAUAGAGGGAAGUCGUCGCCAAGAAGUCAAGUAGAAGAAGUUGAAAUAGAGAAGUCGAAAAGAACGCGCAUAAGUCAAGAGUUGUGGAAAAGCGAAUAAGUCGGUCGGUUUUUCAGCAACGAUUAGUCAAGUCGGACAGUCGUUGAAAGUAGAAGUAGUGUUGCGUGUAGUUCUGUCGGUUGAAUAUUACAAACGUGCAAAUACUCUUAAACUUAACCUUGAUAUAAUAAAUAAAUAUUACACUCAUAUUACAUUUGGGGGCUCAACCGCCAAAUUAAGGUGAAACUGUGAGAAUAACUCGCCUUAAUGUGAAAUUGCGUCAGAAACUGAAAAUUAAUGUGUAUAAGUUAAUAGAUUUGUGUUUUUAUGGAUGUCGUGGCUAUGGCCUACGAAUUAUAUUUAGAUUAUAUUUGAGCUUGUAAAUUGAUUGAAUAAUAAUCAAUGUCUGCGUGGCGACGACCGACGCGUUCGAUUAUCCAAUUCGCUCUGCCCUUCUUUCUUAAGCUCGCCUUUGAUCCCAAGCCAAAAGCUCGACUCUUAUCGUGAAAGCUUCAGGGCUUGUAUUGGCCUCUCUUUCUCUUUCUUCUUCGAAGAAAAGUAACGGCGUCAAGUUCGGAAGCAGCUGCAAGAAGGAGAGGUACGAAACAAACACCAAAUAAUUACGGUGAAACACCAAAAAACGGCACAACAAAUAAAUACACGAAGCCAACCACAAGAGAAAAAAGAAGAAGCGGUGCUGGAAAAUCAAGUACAAUUACAACAAAUAAUUCAGCUGCUGAGUUUGAAAAUUCCAUGAAGUGGCACAGAAUACUCCAAAAGUCUCAUUGGAGGGCUUCGGUAAAGUUGUGGCAGAUUUUUACGGCGAGUCGGUGCCUGUGGAAAAUUGGAUUGAGAACUUCGAGUUGAAUGCUGAUGCGUAUGGGCUAACGAGAGGCAAAAAUAUGCGCAAGCGCGAUCAAAACUGAAAAAGACGGCACAGUUGUUCAUGAAAUCCGAGCUGGUAGGAUCGUAUGAAGAGUGGAAAACAGCGCUUUUAACUAAGUUCAAACGAAAAUUUGGAAGUUCUAAAGUACACGAGAAACUGGCAAAUAGGAAAAAAUUGCAAACGGAGAGUUUCCAUGAAUACAUCUUGCAGAUGAAGAAAAUUGAAGCGCUGGGCCAAGUUGAAACCAAAUCUGUAAUACGUUAUGUUUAUAAUUUAAUGCAUACCUGUAAUACAUACCUGUAUAUGGGUGAAAGCAAGUCAAAAAAGCAGAUUUACAGCAGCGGUCAACAACAGCAUUAUAACAACAGUAAAAAGACGGCUCGUUGCUUCAAUUGUGGAUAGUAUGAACACAUGAAGAAAGAUUGCAAUGCUGGAACGAAGUGCUUUAAGUGUGGUGCUGUGGUUCAUAUAUCAACAAGUUGUAAUUGGUGCAAUUGGUAAAGGAUUCCAAACGGCUGAAGAACAUUAUACUAAAUGGUAUUGAAGUUGCGUGCCUGGUUGACACGGGUGCUGAUGCUACGGUUGUGAAGCACUCGGUGUACAUGAGACUAAAAGAUGUUGUGCUAAGUCCAUAUCGUUGCCGCUGGGAGUUUUCGCUGGAGCUGUUCAAAUAGACGAUAUGGAGACUGUGCAAAACUUCAUCGUGGUAGCGGAUUAAAAAAUGGAAGAUGAUUCUCUCCUUAGAUACGAUUUUCUAUCAAGGUUUCAAUUUAAACUGGAUGCAAAUGGGUUUACGUUUUCGUCGUUUUCAGCUUGUCCUGAGGUAGCUGACAUUAACCAGAUAAUUUGCACCGAUGAUACGGAAGCUGAUAGACGAAUAUCCAACCUCGAUGCUGGCAGAGUCACCUGUUCAGCUAAGAGUGGUGCCAGAUGAAAAGGUUAAGCCGUUUUGUCAUCAACCAAGUCGACAUCCCCCAUUUGAAGCCGAAGCCGUUAAAAAACAAGUCGAUGACUGGUUAAAAGAAGGAAUCGUUCUACCAUCUACUUCACGCUUUGCCAGUAGAACCGUCGUAGUAAAGAAGCUGCAAGCACAAUCAAGGACGCGCUGCGACGCCGAGGAAGCAAGGCCCUGGAGGCAGAAGUAUUACAGCUGACUGAAGAUCUGGUCAGUUCAGAGAGGGCGCGACGUGCUGCUGAAACGGAGAGUGACGAAUUGGCCGAAGAAAUUGCCUACAAUGCCAACAAGGGCUCCUUAAUGAUCGACGAGAAGCGCCGAUUGGAAGCCCGCAUUGCCACUCCUGAGGAGGAGUUGGAGGAGGAACAGUCCAACUCUGAGGUGCUCCUGGAUCAUAAGUCAAGAGUUGUGGAAAAGCGAAUAAGUCGGUCGGUUUUUCAGCAACGAUUAGUCAAGUCGGACAGUCGUUGAAAGUAGAAGUAGUGUUUCGUGAAGUUCUGUCGGUUAAAUAUUACACAGUUGUAAAUACUCUUAAACUUAACUUUGAUAUAAUAAAUAAA